rnacentral:rRNA from 1 species
UACGGGGGGGGCAAGCGUUGUUCGGAAUUACUGGGCGUAAAGGGCUCGUAGGCGGCCAACUAAGUCGGACGUGAAAUCCCCAGGCUCAACUUGGGAACUGCGUCCGAUACUGGAUGGCUUGAAUCCGGGAGAGGGAUGCAGAAUUCCAGGUGUAGCGGUGAAAUGCGUAGAUAUCUGGAGGAAUACCGGUGGCAAAGGCGGCAUCCUGGACCGGCAUUGACGCUGAGGAGCGAAAGCAUGGGGAGCGAACAGG